UACGUAGGGUGCGAGCGUUGUCCGGAUUUAUUGGGCGUAAAGGGCUCGUAGGCGGCGUGUCGCGUCGGGGAGUGAAAGCCCGCUGCUUAACGGCGGGUUGGCUUCCGGUACGGGCAUCGCUGGAGUGCGGCAGGGGAGACUGGAAUUCCUGGUGUAGCGGUGGGAAUGCGCAGAUAUCAGGAGGAACACCGGUGGCGAAGGCGGGUCUCUGGGCCGUUACUGACGCUGAGGAGCGAAAAGCUGGGGGAGCGAA
rnacentral:rRNA from 1 species